CGCGUAGGCGGCUGAUCAAGUCGAGGGUGAAAGCCCGUGGCUCAACCACGGAAUGGCCUUCGAUACUGGUUGGCUUGAGACCGGAAGAGGACAGCGGAACUGCGAGUGUAGAGGUGAAAUUCGUAGAUAUUCGCAAGAACACCAGUGGCGAAGGCGGCUGUCUGGUCCGGUUCUGACGCUGAGGCGCGAAAGCGUGGGGAGCAAACA
rnacentral:rRNA from 1 species